rnacentral:lncRNA from 1 species
CUGCCCCAUAGGAGCGGGGCCAACGGUCGCCCUGGCUGGGUCGCCCUGACUGUCCGACGCGCCCUGGCUCAGCCCCAGCAGAGAUCACGUCCUGACGGAAUGGAAGGAGCAGCUCCACCUCCCCGAGGCUUCCGUGGACUCCGCACACACACGACCACCAGUCUUCAGUCAUGUGCCAUGGAGACUUUGGUCCCAACCAGUGUCUGCCUUUUCUAGAAACUGGAGACCCUGAUUCAAAUGGCAAGAUGUGUUAGUUCCCAUUUGCCUUGCAAUAACCCUAUGCUUCACAAAGAUUCCAGACUAGGGGUUAUUCCUCACCCAAUUUCAUGCAUCUGGAACACAGAGUACCAGAAUACUCUCACAUUUUAUUUCAAGGCACUCUCCAGCAGAAAGUAUAAUAAGAAUAAACUACUUUGUAAAAUGUGCCAUUUUUAUAAAGACAACAGUGAGAUCCAAAAUGAGACAAAGUAGAAUUAUACUGAAUGUUCAUUAUCCCAAAGUGGCUUAAUUUCAUUUGCUUGCUGCAAAGACAAAGACUGUAAAAAGGAGCAAAGAAAGUGUGCAAAGCACUUCCUUGGAAGACCUCGUCCACUAACAGAUCACAAGAAAAGCAAGUGCAGCCCCUCACACGAAAGGAAGGCAGGCAGUAACAUCGGAGACUUCCCAGUCUCCCCGACGUCUGCUCACGCUGGAUGCUGGCACUGGCUUAUCAUGAAGGGAAGGAGAGCAGUAACGCUGGAGACUUCCCAGUCUCCCCGACAUCUGCUCAUGCUGGAUGCUGGCACUGGCUUAUCAGCUACCCACUGGCUGAAAUGGAAAUCAACACCAGCACUUCACGUGACAGCCACAUAGUGACAGUCCAGGCACGUGAAUGACCCCAUUUGUGUUCCCCUAGUUUGUGGAGAGACUUCCUAUUGCUGUGCUUCUCACACCCUCUAGUUUUAAGAAUAUGUCAAAUUGAUGAUAUAUUAUGCAAGUAAACGAUCUUAUAUACACGAAUAGUGAAAGGUAAUUAGGAAUAUGCUGAAUCACCUGGUGCUGUUGAAGAAAACGUGCAGAUGCAUCUCUCUCACCUCACCGCUUUCUUCUAGCUUCUGCUAUAUUUCAUCCCCUAUUAGUUACUCUCUUUCCCUCCAACUUAUCUUCAUCCUCAAACCUCAGAGGAAAUAAUCGCAAGGGUCACAUCUGGGAGAGUGGUAGUUGGAAGGCAGCAUUUCUAGGGGGUAGGGAAGCACCACCUCCCCAGCACCGCAUCCUUACAAAAUCUAAAGGGCAACCAAUGGGUCAGUCUGGAGGCCGCCAUGCUUCUGUAACAACCGCAGCAAUUUUAUCUUUGCAUCUCUUACUGGAUUAUAUAAGCCAUCUAGGUAAAGUAAACACUGCCAAAAGCUCCUACCCACUGGAAAGAGAAGUAGAGGGCUUGAAAACACAACUUCGCCAGGCUCCAACACAGAAAGAAGCAUCAUUCAGAGGCGAGAACAAUGCUGUGGACGCCUCCUGAUCAACACUCAAGGGAUGCAGGAGCUCGGUGAGGACGGUCCCUCAGAGGCAGAUGACCCGACCGGCUCAGGUACUGGCAAGCUGGCCACCAGACCUAGACCAUGCUUGUCGAGAUGCCUUGCUACUUGAGAAUAAGGCGAGAUCCCAGAUUCAAGUGCUAGCAGCAUUCUGCCCCUCAGAUGCGCCGGCAGGCUCCACUGGCUCCAAAGGACGCCCUUGGAUGGGUCAGCAAUUCCACGAACAUCCACUAAACCAACACUUAGCACUGCUCAGUGGGGUCAACAGUGCCCGGUGGUCCGCUGCAAUGAAUCCAAACACAUCUGUGCCCAGAGCUACAAGGCCAUGUGCCCAUCAACUGUCCCGACUCGCAGGCAAUGCACGCAGCCCUGCACCACUUCCCUCCUGCCCACCACGGAGCAGGGGACAGUUCUGUGAGUGAACAGAAGCAGGACAUCGGCAGAGCCAGCUGACGAUGGAGGAUGAGAUGCUGCCGAGAUGCUGGAGGGCAGAUCACUGAGGAUGAACACGCGUUCCUUCCGCCAACAGUCGUGCACCACCUGCUGGGGCUCUGCGUCCCCACCGGCCAAGGGCUGCCUCGCUCUAAUGAAGGCCGCUCACUCAGCACAGGGCCAAGUGGCCUUU